GGGAGGCAGCAGUCGGGAAUUUUGGGCAAUGGCCGAAAGGCUGAUGCAGCAACGCCGCGUGAGUGAAGAAGGCCUUCGGGUUGUAAAGCUCUUUUGCCCGUGACGAACAGGCCAGGUCUUGAAAUGGGCCUGGAUUGACGGUACCGGGAGAGGAAGCCCCGGCUAACUACGUGCCAGCAGCCGCGGUAAUACGUAGGGGGCGAGCGUUGUCCGGAUUUAUUGGGCGUAAAGGGCGUGUAGGCGGUUCGGUAAGUCGGGGGUGAAAUCCCCGGGCUCAACCCCGGGUCUGCCUCCGAAACUGCGGGACUUGAGUGCUGCUAGAGGGUAGUGGAAUUCCCGGUGUAGCAGUGAAAUGCGUAGAGAUCGGCAGGAACACCAGUGGCGAAGGCGGCUCCCUGGGGAGCAACUGACGCUGAGGCGCGAAAGCUGGGGGAGCAAACGGGAUUAGAUACCCCGGUAGUCCCAGCCGUAAACGAUGAGUGCUAGGUGUGAGGGGUAUCGACCCCCCUCGUGCCGCAGCU
rnacentral:rRNA from 1 species